rnacentral:rRNA from 1 species
UACGUAGGGGGCAAGCGUUGUCCGGAUUUAUUGGGCGUAAAGAGCGUGUAGGCGGCUUUACAGGUCCGUUGUGAAAACUCGAGGCUCAACCUCGAGACGCCGGUGGAAACCGUAAAGCUAGAGUCCGGAAGAGGAGAGUGGAAUUCCUGGUGUAGCGGUGAAAUGCGCAGAUAUCAGGAGGAACACCGGUGGCGAAGGCGGUUCUCUGGGCCUGUACUGACGCUGAGGAACGAAAGCGUGGGGAGCGAACAGG